GAAAUGCGAUAAGUAAUGUGAAUUGCAGAAUUCAGUGAAUCAUCGAAUCUUUGAACGCACAUUGCGCCCGCCAGUAUUCUGGCGGGCAUGCCUGUUCGAGCGUCAUUUCAACCAUCAAGCCCCCGGCUUGUGUUGGGGACCUGCGGUUGCCCGCAGGCCCUGAAAAACAGUGGCGGGCUCGCUGUCACACCGAGCGUAGUAGCAUACAUUCUCGCUCAGGGCGUGCUGCGGGUUCCGGCCGUUAAACGACCUUCAUAACCCAAGGUUGACCUCGGAUCAGGUAGGAAGACCCGCUGAACUUAAGC
rnacentral:misc_RNA from 1 species